GACGAACGCUGGCGGCGUGCUUAACACAUGCAAGUCGAACGGAAAGGCCCUGCUUUUGUGGGGUGCUCGAGUGGCGAACGGGUGAGUAACACGUGAGUAACCUGCCCUUGACUUUGGGAUAACUUCAGGAAACUGGGGCUAAUACCGGAUAGGAGCUCCUGCUGCAUGGUGGGGGUUGGAAAGUUUCGGCGGUUGGGGAUGGACUCGCGGCUUAUCAGCUUGUUGGUGGGGUAGUGGCUUACCAAGGCUUUGACGGGUAGCCGGCCUGAGAGGGUGACCGGCCUCGUGGGGACUGGUAUGCCGCCCGCACUCCUGGGGGGGGCGGCGGGGGGGAGUGUUGCACGGGGGGCGGACCCCUUAUGCACCCACGCCGCGGGCGGGGGGGCGGCUUUCGGUUUGUACCCGGCUUCCGCCGGUGCCGAAGGGGGGGUGAGGGUAGUGGAUAAAGAACCCCCGCCUAACUACGCG
rnacentral:rRNA from 1 species